rnacentral:rRNA from 1 species
UACAGGGGGCUCGAGCGUUAGUCGGAAUCACUGGGCUUAAAGGGUGCGUAGGCGGCUCGUCAAGUGCUUUGUGAAAUCCCACAGCUCAACUGUGGAACAGCAGGGCAAACUGACGAGCUUGAGGCAGGUAGGGGCCGGAAGAACAGUAGGUGGAGCGGUGAAAUGCGUAGAUAUCUACUGGAGUGCCGAUGGGGAAGCCGUCCGGCUGGGCCUGUCCUGACGCUGAGGCACGAAAGCGUGGGGAGCAAACAGG